UAUCAGUGUCUCAGAUUUAUAAGGCCUGCACGGAAAUGGUGAACUCCUCAGAUAGUGUCCACUAAAACCAGUUUCCCACACACUUCCAAAAAUAGCCGUCAGCUGAGCAGAUGCCGCCAGGAUGCAAAGCUGGUGCAGCAUCAAGUGUGCCAUAGAAACCUAAAAACAAAAACACCUGCAUCUAAAUCAUGAGAUUCGGGAAGAGAACAUGUCACCUCCAGUCACUUAUGGCCAUUACAGCAUGCAGGUAGAGAGCACCUUUCCAGCAUUGCCAAUUGGGGAUAUAUAGAUCAGGAGCCUGACCCCAUUCACAGAUGCUGUAUUCCAUCUUUAGUCUGGUACGAGAACAAGCUGUCACUUGGACAUUUGUAUUUCAAAUCUUGCUUUUGUUGUAAAAGUUUUUGCUUUUAUUAUUUCAUUAUUAUUUUUGCUUAAUAAAGACAUGUGAAGGUUUAA